GAGUUGCGCUCGGCCACUUCCUUCGUGUGUGGACAAACUACAUGACGGGAUCUCCAGCUUUUUAUGGACAUUUUUUUUCUAACGGAGGGAAGGGGCCGAAAGACAAGAGGAGCGUUGUGGAUUGAUUUAUAACUUCAAAGAAAAAAAAAUCGGUGAUUAGCGGAGAAGAGGAGGAGGAAGGAGGAAGGAUAUCGCUUGUAACGGCGGAGUAACACGCACAGCAUCGUCGUGAUCUGCCCGCUCAUAAUCAUCAUAUUAAUAAUAAUAACAAGGUCAAUGUGACCUUGGUGUGGAUUGAGUCUCCCUGUUCGACGUGAACAAAGAAAGCUAACAGACGCACUGGGGAGGAGAAGAAAAACAACAGGUUGCCAGGUUGUCCUUUUCUGAUCCCCUGCUUGAUUGAGCGCUCCUUCCAUCCACCGCGCGACACCUCCACCGAAUGGGAGUUUGCAUCGGAGCCAUGGGCGGGGUGGAGGUCCUGCUCCUGGUCUUCCUGUUCGGAUCGGAAACUUCACUGGCUCUCAACUGGAACCCGGUGCCACGCAAGACCGUGCGAU